GACGAACGCUGGCGGCGUGCUUAACACAUGCAAGUCGAACGGAAAGGCCCUGCUUUUGUGGGGUGCUCGAGUGGCGAACGGGUGAGUAACACGCGAGUAACCUGCCCUUGACUUUGGGAUAACUUCAGGAAACUGGGGCUAAUACCGGAUAGGAGCUCCUGCUGCAUGGUGGGGGUUGGAAAGUUUCGGCGGUUGGGGAUGGACUCGCGGCUUAUCAGCUUGUUGGUGGGGUAGUGGCUUACCAAGGCUUUGACGGGUAGCCGGCCUGAGAGGGUGACCGGCCACAUUGGGACUGAGAUACGGCCCAGACUCCUACGGGAGGCAGCAGUGGGGAAUAUUGCACAAUGGGCGGAAGCCUGAUGCAGCAACGCCGCGUGCGGGAUGACGGCCUUCGGGUUGUAAACCGCUUUCGCCUGUGACGAAGCGUGAGUGACGGUAAUGGGUAAAGAAGCGCCGGCUAACUACGUG
rnacentral:rRNA from 1 species